UACAGAGGGGGCAAGCGUUGUUCGGAAUUACUGGGCGUAAAGGGCGCGUAGGCGGCCCGCUAAGUCGAACGUGAAAUCCCCGGGCUCAACCCGGGAACUGCGUCCGAUACUGGCAGGCUUGAAUCCGGGAGAGGGAUGUGGAAUUCCAGGUGUAGCGGUGAAAUGCGUAGAUAUCUGGAGGAAUACCGGUGGCGAAGGCGGCAUCCUGGACCGACAUUGACGCUGAGGAGCGAAAGCUAGGGGAGCAAACGGG
rnacentral:rRNA from 1 species